rnacentral:rRNA from 1 species
CAAUAGCGUAUAUUAAAGUUGCUGCGGUUAAAAAGCUCGUAGUUGGAUCUCAGUUACGGACAAGUGGUUCUCCUUUCGGUGCUACUACUUGGGCCGGAUCUAUUGCUGGUUCCUCCAAGGUCUCCUUCACUGGGUGCCUUGGUAGACCAGAGCGUUUACUUUGAAAAAAUUAGAGUGCUCAAAGCAGGCGAUUGCCUGAACAGUCGUGCAUGGAAUAAUGGAAAAUGGCCUCGGUGCUAUUUUGUUGGUUCUCGGUACUCGAGGUAAUGGUUGAAAGGGACAGACGGGGGCAUUCGUAUUGCGACGUUAGAGGUGAAAUUCUUAGAUCGUCGCAAGACGAACUACUGCGAAAGCAUUUGCCAAGAAUGUUUNCAUUAA